UCGAGGGGCAGCAUGGUCUUAGCUUGCUAAGGCUGAUGGCGACCGGCGCACGCGUGUAGUAACACGUAUCCAACCUGCCGUCUACUCUUGGUCAGCCUUCUGAAAGGAAGAUUAAUCCAGGAUGGGAUCAUGAGUUCACAUGUCCGCAUGAUUAAAGGUAUUUUCCGGUAGACGAUGGGGAUGCGUUCCAUUAGAUAGUAGGCGGGGUAACGGCCCACCUAGUCAACGAUGGAUAGGGGUUCUGAGAGGAAGGUCCCCCACAUUGGAACUGAGACACGGUCCAAACUCCUACGGGAGGCAGCAGUGAGGAAUAUUGGUCAAUGGGCGAUGGCCUGAACCAGCCAAGUAGCGUGAAGGAUGACUGCCCUAUGGGUUGUAAACUUCUUUUAUAAAGGAAUAAAGUCGGGUAUGCAUACCCGUUUGCAUGUACUUUAUGAAUAAGGAUCGGCUAACUCCGUGCCAGCAGCCGCGGUAAUACGGAGGAUCCGAGCGUUAUCCGGAUUUAUUGGGUUUAAAGGGAGCGUAGAUGGAUGUUUAAGUCAGUUGUGAAAGUUUGCGGCUCAACCGUAAAAUUGCAGUUGAUACUGGAUGUCUUGAGUGCAGUUGAGGCAGGCGGAAUUCGUGGUGUAGCGGUGAAAUGCUUAGAUAUCACGAAGAACUCCGAUUGCGAAGGCAGCCUGCUAAGCUGCAACUGACAUUGAGGCUCGAAAGUGUGGGUAUCAAACAGGAUUAGAUACCCUGGUAGUCCACACGGUAAACGAUGAAUACUCGCU
rnacentral:rRNA from 1 species